rnacentral:rRNA from 1 species
UACGUAGGGUGCAAGCGUUGUCCGGAAUUAUUGGGCGUAAAGGGCUCGUAGGCGGUUUGUCGCGUCGGGAGUGAAAACCUACAGCUUAACUGUGGGCUUGCUUUCGAUACGGGCAGACUAGAGGUAUGCAGGGGAGAACGGAAUUCCUGGUGUAGCGGUGAAAUGCGCAGAUAUCAGGAGGAACACCGGUGGCGAAGGCGGUUCUCUGGGCAUGAUCUGACGCUGAGGAGCGAAAGCGUGGGGAGCGAACAGG